GAUGAAGAACGUAGCAAAAUGCGAUACUUGGUGAGAAUUGCAGAAUCCCGUGAACCAUCGAGUUUUUGAACGCAAGUUGCGCCCGAAGCCUUUUGGCCGAGGGCACGUCUGCCUGGGCGUCACGCAUCGCGUCGCCCCCCACAAUUCUCCGUAAAGGGAACAUGUGUUUUGGGGGCGGAUAUUGGUCUCCCGUGCUCAUGGCGUGGUUGGCCGAAAUAGGAGUCCUUUCGAUGGACGCACGAACUAGUGGUGGUCGUAAAAACCCUCGUCUUUUGUUUCGUGCUGUUGGUCGCAAGGUAAACUCUUUAAAAACCCCAAUGUGUCGUCUCUUGACGACGCUUCGACCGCGACCCCAGGUCAGGCGGGACUACCCGCUUAGUUUAAGCAUAUCAAUAAGCGAAGGA
rnacentral:misc_RNA from 1 species